rfam:Triticum aestivum genome assembly, contig: Triticum_aestivum_CS42_TGACv1_scaffold_405105_5BL
UAAGUACUCCCUCCGUCCCAAAUUACUUGUCGCAAAAAAUGGAUAGAAAUGGAUGUAUCUAGAACUAAAAUACAUGUAGAUAGAUACAUUUCUGCGACAAGUAAUUCCGGACAGAGGGAGUAUGAG